rnacentral:rRNA from 1 species
UACAGGGGGUGCAAACGUUGCUCGGAAUUAUUGGGCGUAAAGCGCGCGUAGGCGGCUACUUAAGUCGGAUGUGAAAGCCCUUGGCUCAACUGAGGAAGUGCACCCGAAACUGAGUGGCUAGAGUAACGAAAGAGGGUCGCCGGAAUUCCCGGUGUAGAGGUGAAAUUCGUAGAUAUCGGGAGGAACACCGGUGGCGAAGGCGGCGACCUGGGUCGAUACUGACGCUGAUGCGCGAAAGCGUGGGGAGCAAACAGG